rnacentral:rRNA from 1 species
GAUGAACGCUGGCGGCGUGCCUAAUACAUGCAAGUCGAGCGAACAGACGAGGAGCUUGCUCCUCUGACGUUAGCGGCGGACGGGUGAGUAACACGUGGAUAACCUACCUAUAAGACUGGGAUAACUUCGGGAAACCGGAGCUAAUACCGGAUAAUAUAUUGAACCGCAUGGUUCAAUAGUGAAAGACGGUUUUGCUGUCACUUAUAGAUGGAUCCGCGCCGCAUUAGCUAGUUGGUAAGGUAACGGCUUACCAAGGCAACGAUGCGUAGCCGACCUGAGAGGGUGAUCGGCCACACUGGAACUGAGACACGGUCCAGACUCCUACGGGAGGCAGCAGUAGGGAAUCUGCCGCAAUGGGCGAAAGCUUGACGGAGCAACGCCGCGUGAGUGAUGAAGGUCUUCGGAUCGUAAAACUCUGUUAUUAGGGAAGAACAAAUGUGUAAGUAACUAUGCACGUCUUGACGGUACCUAAUCAGAAAGCCACGGCUAACUACGUG